GAAAGUUAUUUUGUUUUAAACAGUGUUUCGAUGUUUUCGUUCAUGACCGUAUGUAUACAUGUAUAGGUGUUUCAGAUUAAUGCGCUCGCCGUCUUUCUAAUGAAAAUCCACUUCUUUUUCUUAAUUUCUCGACGUUUACGUUGUCUUUGCAUCAAAAUCAAUUAACCUUUAGUUCGUGCAACAUUGUUGAUCUGCGCGUUUUUCGAUGAUCCAUAGACCUAACUAUAUAUAUAACAGAUAUCUACUUAGGUUGGCCUUGACUUCGAUGGACGAGCGCAUGAUUGUUAGGCCUCGUUUUCACUGAAGCAACAACGAUCAACUUUCUGCUGUCUCUCGUCGCUACAUUCCAAUACAUUUCCAAAAAACAGCAACUUAUAGAAACAUUCUAUCCACACUGAAGCAUUAUGCGAUAACUUUUUCAAGAAACAUGGAAUAUUAAUAAAAAGUUGUUCGAAGUUGUUUCAGUGGAAACGAAGCCUCCCGCUCGCUAUUACGAACAAUCGUUGACUGAUAUUUUAAUGUCUUUUCAUUUCUUCUAUAUUUUCUCUACUAUGAGUCAUCUUUGCUUCUUAUCUGUAUGAAUUCUGUUUCAGCUUUUUGCAAGAAAUGUGUUUUUCAUUUCGUCCUUUUACUACAUUUGCCAUCGUUAUUCGAAAUACAAAAAAAAAACCGAUAGAAAGACGUGUCGAUAAACUAGAAAGAUAGUUGCAAAAUCGUUCCGACAUUCAAAUGCUUUGAAGUAGUCAAAAAAUUAUUCUAUAGCAGAUAUGUACUUGUACGUAUCUUGGAACAGGUGUACGGAAUGGCAACGUUUGUACAAUGAAUCGAAUAGGAGCGUUUGACACGAGUCGCAUCGUGUCGCGUUGACGACAAGAUAAAAAGAAACUGUUUACGAGCGAACGAGCGAAAAGGGGUGCGGCUCGCUGCAUCGGCCAUCGCGCUGCUUCUCGAUAAUUAAAUGUCAGAUAGCUAGGCGAGACAGCGAGACAUGACACGUUGUUUUCAUCGGUCGGUCGUGGCACGUUUACAUCGGUUAUAUAGUUUCCUUUUCUAAUCAUAAAGAUAUGUCCUUAGAGAGGCUUUUAUUUUACGCUUUUGGUUUAAACUUCUGAACGCACGAAUCCUAUGAAAUCGCAUAGUUGAGUCAAACGCGAGUGGUUAUCGACAUGGCGAUCAACGCGACGGAGUUCUUUCGCGAGUUUGACAUUUUCUCGUUGAAUAUUUUGUGUGAAAUUGAGAAAAUUAAGAGCAAAGGAAGUGACACAAAUUUGGACCCAGUAACACGACUUUCGUUAACGAUAAGAGCGCGUAAUUAAUGAAAGUUACAACGUUUGAUUUAAUCGAUAACGCCAACGCGAAUGAGAAGAAUGAUGCCAUCCUCUGCGGACUUUUCACAUAAAGUUGUUAAUAUUUGAGCGAAAGUUGAGUCGUUGUUCAUUGGUUGGCAGAAGCACAAGAUACAAGCGUACCAAGAUACAGUAGAUAGGAUGGAAAUCUAAUAAACAAAGCAGAAAAAAGCGAUAUAACCGUUUUCGCUAUCAACGGAAUUUCAUUGCUAAAUUAAGGAUCUCUUAAUUAGGGAAGAAUGGAAGGCAACGGAGCAUAAAGCUGUCGAGCAAGCACAAUUUCUCUGGGCGAUAUUAAAACGACGCCUAAUAUCCUGGACGGCUUGAUAUUAAGAGGAUGACGAAGGUGAAUCCCAAAGGAAAGCUGAAAUGGGGUGAAGAAAGGGAUCGUAAGCCGCUUACGGUUUCACGAUGUCACGAAACGAACGAGCCACCAACUGCUUGUCGUUUUAGCAGCACGCAUAAACCGCACUCUACGUGGCUAGGAUUUACAGACCUAGAAGGUCCCUGAAAUUAGACCAACUCGCGUAUAUGCCUUCCAUGAUGCACGGAUUAACUUGUUUUCCUACAAACAUAAAGUCCCUUCAAAUUGCCAAAGUUGGCAACUAAGUGAUUGCGGAUUUUGUCAAUAUCACCUAAUGACAAAAUCCGCAAUUACUUAGUUGCCAACCCAAUAUAUGCAUAUUACUCUGUUGCUUAAAUAAUUAUCAGUUUCACUGUAAUAUCAGUAUGGUAUAUGGUUAAUUGAAUUACAAUUCAAUUGAUCUGACUAAAACGCUAAAACGGCUUGAUUAUAUAAAAUAAAUGCGAUCUUUUUUUGCAAAACUU